AUAUUUUUGGACUGUGGGAGGAAACCGGAGUACCCGGAGAAAACCCACGUAUGCACAGAGAGAACAUGCAAACUCCAUGCAGAAAGAUCCCAGGCCCACCCUGGGAUUUGAACCGGGGAUCUUCUUUCUGUAAGGCAGAAGUGCUAACCACUACGCCACUGUGCAGCCUCAACAUGCAGAUGAUCAGAGACUCCCUCCCUACUGUCAGCGAAGAACAUCACAGCUGUGUGCCUCAGCAGCAGCUGGCCAAGAAGCGCCGCACACUGGGACCAGAUGAACUACAGAGGAUAGCUACAGAGGUUUGUGACACAAUCCUGGGCCAUGCAAAAGAGAGGUUUGCCUUCACCAAACACCUAAUCAGUGCUACACUGCUUCAAGGAGACAGAUUCCAGGAGUACGACAGCCAGUUCCCUGAAGCAGCGCUCAGCACCACCAUGGAG